rnacentral:rRNA from 1 species
CCUACGGGUGGCAGCAGUGAGGAAUAUUGGUCAAUGGACGAGAGUCUGAACCAGCCAAGUAGCGUGAAGGAUGACUGCCUUAUGGGUUGUAAACUUCUUUUAUAUGGGAAUAAAAUGUUCCACGUGUGGGAUUUUGUAUGUACCAUAUGAAUAAGGAUCGGCUAACUCCGUGCCAGCAGCCGCGGUAAUACGGAGGAUCCGAGCGUUAUCCGGAUUUAUUGGGUUUAAAGGGAGCGUAGGUGGAUUGUUAAGUCAGUUGUGAAAGUUUGCGGCUCAACCGUAAAAUUGCAGUUGAAACUGGCAGUCUUGAGUACAGUAGAGGUGGGCGGAAUUCGUGGUGUAGCGGUGAAAUGCUUAGAUAUCACGAAGAACUCCGAUUGCGAAGGCAGUUCACUGGACUGCAACUGACACUGAGGCUCGAAAGUGUGGGUAUCAAACAGGAUUAGAUACCCGUGUAGUC